rnacentral:pre_miRNA from 1 species
GAAGUACUCCCUCCGUUCGGAAUUACUUGUCUCGGAAAUGGAUGUAUCUAGAACUAAAAUCCGUCUAGAUACAUCCAUUUCUGCGACAAGUAAUUCCGAACGGAGGGAGUAGUUG